UCUCAAGUAUUCAAGAUGGACGGAGGGGAAUGCAGAGAGAGAAGCGGGAGCUGCUUAGUGCCCGCCACUUUCUUGCCGGCAAAAGCGGGGGGAAACUCCAAAGUUUUAACCGCCACAGGGGCAAGCGAGAGACGAGGAGAAGCCAGAGAGCUGCUGAAAGGGUGGAAUUCCCGAACAGUCUUCUUGAAACAUAAAACUGGAUACUCCUGCUGGAUGAAGACUAAAGAGAAUGGUUUGAUUGAUAUGGACAGUACAGCAGUCCAAUAUUCCAUAGAGGGCCUUCUAAAAAAAAGCACAUUGAUAAAAUAAA